GCCGGGCAUGGUGGCGGGUGCCUGUAAUCCCAGCUACUCUGGAGGCUGAGGUGAAAGGAUCGCUUGAACCUAGGAGGUAGAGGUUGCAGUGAGCUGAGAUCGUGCCACUGCCCUCCAGCCUGGGUGACAGGGCGAGACUCCAUCUCAA
rnacentral:SRP_RNA from 2 species